GAAAAAGGGUCUGCAGGCAGGACUUUGGCCAUUCCGUUCUCCGACGCCGGACGUUACACAGGUUUGACCCCGAUAAGAUGCUGUCCAGGUCGGGCCAGGGAGAAUUUUAAACCUUGGAGAUCUUGCUGCUUAAUCGUCCUCCCCUUUACAUAGGGAGGUGACCAUCCCUGGAAAUGGCCCAGAACUGAGUGCUGAGCUGCUGGCCUCCCAUGAAGACCUUCGUCUCCAGCUCCUCCAUCUGCCUGCCUCGACACGUGUGUGCCGGGACCUCUGCGAUGGCCCUUGGGCUUAUCACAGUAAGAGCCCUAGAGAACCUAGAGCCCAGCCUGCGCCAGGCACCCUGGAGAGCGAUCCCUGUAGCCCCCCAGCACUCAGGGUGGGGGAGGCCUCACCUGGAAGAUGUUGACGUGAAGCUCAUCAGCCUUGACCAUCAACGCUCAGGGACCCACGACCACAGAGUGGCAGCCAGUCAAAGCAACUGCGUCCACUUGGCGUGCAAAGCAGUUGGCGUGCACAGCCCCCCGUGAUUGCAGCCUGCAAGCCUGAGGAUUGGACACACUGCAGCUGACAGAAGCAGAAACGGAGAUAGAGGCCACGUGCCCACCCCAGCUUACUCAGCUAAGUAGGUGGCAGAAGUGGGAUUUGAACCCUGGUUCCAUCCAAGAUAAGGCAUAAAACCCCUGGGAUGAGUCACUUACUGCAACAGAGCAUGAACCCAGGCUUGGAGUCCAGGCAGCAGAGACAAAACCGCGAGAAGACAGAUAAGGAACGACACUGUCUUCCCACUGUCUGCAGAGACUCUCUCCCUUGGAACGAAAUGAAGCCGAAAAGUAGGAUAUGAUGUCACAACGGCCGUUUCACAACAGACAGGGGAAGAUAGUCAAACCAACACUGUACGGGCCCCUCUCAAGGCAGAGGAUGUGAAGAAACAUCAGCUGAAUGCAGCGAUCUGCUCUUCCUUCUGGCCCAAGCUCCACAUCUCCUCGCUGACCACACUUUGAGUAGCAAGGCCAGAAACAACCUGGGGCCUGAACCCUACUAAGCCUGAUGUUCUUUCCAGAACAAGAAGGAACGCGGUGGGUUUGGGAGAAGGAGAGAUUGGACGUGGACUGCGGUGUGUCUCACUUGCACCCAUCAGGGGGCGGGAGGAUGUAGCCACGUGCUACAGACGAUCCUGCCCUACAGGAUUACUUACAGGUCUCACCCAAGAGGUUCUCCCAUCCAGACCCAGAGAAAGUUCCAGAAGCUUCUUGACAUCGCUACCCUCUGUACCCUCAGGAAGACUAAAGAGCCUAGACCCCUUAGCCGCACUCAGGCUCUGCAAGUGGCCAGAGUGUGUGCGGGGCGGAUGUCAGUAUAAUUCCUCUGGACAUCCCCUCUCAGCUAAAAUCAGAGGCCCCAGACCUCUCAUUCAUUCAUUUAGUUGUUUUUUCACUUAGGCAUGCUCAGACCCCUGCCAGCAGCCAAAGGUGGUUACCUAAUAUUCUCCUCUUUUAUUUUUUAAACAAACAAUACUUUGCAGGAUUAAAAACCAUCAUUAUAAGAUUA